rnacentral:rRNA from 1 species
AUUGAACGCUAGCGGGAUGCCUUACACAUGCAAGUCGAACGGAGUGGCGAACGGGUGAGUAAUGUAUCGGAACGUGCCCAGUAGCGGGGGAUAACUACGCGAAAGCGUAGCUAAUACCGCAUACUAUUGGAGCGGCCGAUAGCGGCUUAGCUAGUGGGUGGGGUAACGACCCACCAAGCCGACGAUCCAUAGCUGGUUUGAGAGGACGACCAGCCACACUGGGACGGAGACAAGGCCCAGACGCCUACGGGAGGCAGCAGUGGGGAAUAUAGGACAAUGGGGGAAACCCUGAUGCAGCCAUGCCGCGUGUACGAUGAAGGCCUUCGGGUUGUAAAGCACUUUUGGCAGGAAAGCGGUACCUGCAGAAGAAGCACCGGCUAACUACGUGCCAGCAGCCGCGGUAAUAC